rnacentral:rRNA from 1 species
GACAGAGGUGGCUAGCGUUGUUCGGAAUUACUGGGCUUAAAGGGCGCGUAGGCGGUAAUGUAAGUCUGAGGUGGAAUCCUUUGGCUUAACCAAAGGACUGCCUUGGAAACUGCAUUACUUGAGUCAGAUAGGGGAAGGCGGAAUUCCUGGUGUAGCAGUGAAAUGCGUAGAUAUCAGGAGGAAGGCCUGUGGUGAAGACGGCCUUCUGGGUCUUGACUGACGCUGAGGCGCGAAAGCGUGGGGAGCAAACAGG